rnacentral:lncRNA from 1 species
GUGGAAUGAAUUAAAAAGUAAUUGAGUGAGAUUAAGCAGUGAAUGUAGCUAGGAUGGACGCAGCAAAUAGGUGAAAGUCCAAGUGAAAUGAACAUCUUUGUCCCUAUAAUUACUGAAUGUUACACACUUUCUCGGAAGGUUCUUAAUCCUUCUUGCUAGUUGCCAAACUUGACUUUAUACGUUCAUGUUUCCUUACUGUAACCUUCACAACCAACAAACUUUCUUAUUUGUCGCUUUCAAAUCUUUCUG